UCCGUUUUAUCAACGGCAGUCUCAACCGAGUGCCCGGCCGAACCGCUGGCAACAGUUGACAAGGGUUGCGCUCGUUGCGGGACUUAACCCAACAUCUCACGACACGAGCUGACGACAACCAUGCACCACCUGUCACCAUUGUCCCCGAAGGGAAGACCCCAUCUCUGGAGCUGUCCUCCGUUGUCUAGCCCAGGUAAGGUUCUUCGCGUUGCGUCGAAUUGAACCACAUGCUCCACCGCUUGUGCGGGCCCCCGUCAAUUCCUUUGAGUUUUAGCCUUGCGGCCGUACUCCCCAGGCGGGGCACUUAAUGCGUUAGCUUCGGCACGGAGGGAGUCGACACCCCCCACACCUAGUGCCCAUCGUUUACAGCGUGGACUAC
rnacentral:misc_RNA from 1 species